GAUGAACGCUGGCGGCGUGCCUAAUACAUGCAAGUCGAGCGAACGGACGAGAAGCUUGCUUCUCUGAUGUUAGCGGCGGACGGGUGAGUAACACGUGGAUAACCUACCUAUAAGACUGGGAUAACUUCGGGAAACCGGAGCUAAUACCGGAUAAUAUUUUGAACCGCAUGGUUCAAAAGUGAAAGACGGUCUUGCUGUCACUUAUAGAUGGAUCCGCGCUGCAUUAGCUAGUUGGUAAGGUAACGGCUUACCAAGGCAACGAUGCAUAGCCGACCUGAGAGGGUGAUCGGCCACACUGGAACUGAGACACGGUCCAGACUCCUACGGGAGGCAGCAGUAGGGAAUCUUCCGCAAUGGGCGAAAGCCUGACGGAGCAACGCCGCGUGAGUGAUGAAGGUCUUCGGAUCGUAAAACUCUGUUAUUAGGGAAGAACAUAUGUGUAAGUAACUGUGCACAUCUUGACGGUACCUAAUCAGAAAGCCACGGCUAACUACGUGCCAGCAGCCGCGGUAAUACGUAGGUGGCAAGCGUUAUCCGGAAUUAUUGGGCGUAAAGCGCGCGUAGGCGGUUUUUUAAGUCUGAUGUGAAAGCCCACGGCUCAACCGUGGAGGGUCAUUGGAAACUGGAAAACUUGAGUGCAGAAGAGGAAAGUGGAAUUCCAUGUGUAGCGGUGAAAUGCGCAGAGAUAUGGAGGAACACCAGUGGCGAAGGCGACUUUCUGGUCUGUAACUGACGCUGAUGUGCGAAAGCGUGGGGAUCAAACAGGAUUAGAUACCCUGGUAGUCCACGCCGUAAACGAUGAGUGCUAAGUGUUAGGGGGUUUCCGCCCCUUAGUGCUGCAGCUAACGCAUUAAGCACUCCGCCUGGGGAGUACGACCGCAAGGUUGAAACUCAACGGAAUUGACGGGGACCCGCACAAGCGGUGGAGCAUGUGGUUUAAUUCGAAGCAACGCGAAGAACCUUACCAAAUCUUGACAUCCUUUGACAACUCUAGAGAUAGAGCCUUCCCCUUCGGGGGACAAAGUGACAGGUGGUGCAUGGUUGUCGUCAGCUCGUGUCGUGAGAUGUUGGGUUAAGUCCCGCAACGAGCGCAACCCUUAAGCUUAGUUGCCAUCAUUAAGUUGGGCACUCUAAGUUGACUGCCGGUGACAAACCGGAGGAAGGUGGGGAUGACGUCAAAUCAUCAUGCCCCUUAUGAUUUGGGCUACACACGUGCUACAAUGGACAAUACAAAGGGCAGCGAAACCGCGAGGUCAAGCAAAUCCCAUAAAGUUGUUCUCAGUUCGGAUUGUAGUCUGCAACUCGACUACAUGAAGCUGGAAUCGCUAGUAAUCGUAGAUCAGCAUGCUACGGUGAAUACGUUCCCGGGUCU
rnacentral:rRNA from 1 species